AACUGUUUUUCCAUUCUCUAGCUCCACGUGUUCAAUUUUUUUAGCUGCUACAUAUAAGUGAGAAAAUGCAAUAUUUGUUGUUCCGUGCCCGACUUUUUUCACUUAAGAGAAUAACCUCCAGGCCUUGUGGCUCUCUGAGCAGCACCAUGGUGGUUGGCAAGAACAAGCGCCUUACAAAAGGCAGCAAAAAGGGAGCCAAGAAGAAAGUGAUUGAUCCAUUUUCUAAGAAAGAUUGGUAUAAUGUGAAAGCAGCUGCUAUGUUCAAUAUAAGAAAUAUUGGAAAGACGCUAGUCACCAGGACCCAAGGAACCAAAAUUGCAUCCGACAGCCUCAAGGGUUGUGUGUUUGAAGUGAGUCUUGCUGAUUUGCAGAAUGACGAAUUUGCAUUUAGAAAAUUCAAGCUGAUUACUGAAGAUGUUCAGGGCAAAAACUGCCUGACUAAGUUCCAUGGCAUGGAUCUUAUUCGUGACAAAAUGUGUUCCAUGGUCAAAAAAUGGCAGACAAUGAUUGAAGCUCACAUUGAUGUCAAGACUACUCAUGGUUACUUGCUUCGUCUGUUCUGUGUUGGCUUUACUAAAAAACGCAACAAUCAGAUACGGAAGACCUCUUAUGCUCAGCACCAACAGGUCCGCCAAAUCCAGAAGAUGAUGGAAAUCAUGACCCAAGAGGUGCCGACAAAUGACUUGAAAGAAAUGGUCAAUAAAUUGAUUCGGCGGGGCGCAAAAGUAAAAAUGCUGAAGAAGCUCAAGUUUGAAUUGGGAAAACUCAUGGAGCUUCAUGGUGAAGGCAGUAGUUCCGGAAAAGUCACUGGGGACAAGACAGGUGCUAAAGUUGAACGAACUGAUGGAUAUGAACGACCAGUCCAAGAAUCUGUUUAA